UACAGAGGGUGCGAGCGUUGUCCGGAAUCACUGGGCGUAAAGGGCGCGUAGGCGGUCUGGUAAGCGUGUGGUGAAAGCUCGGGGCUCAACCCCGAGUCGGCCGUGCGAACUGCGAGACUGGAGCAGAUCAGAGGCAGGCGGAAUUCCGGGUGUAGCGGUGGAAUGCGUAGAGAUCCGGAAGAACACCGGUGGCGAAGGCGGCCUGCUGGGAUCUUGCUGACGCUGAGGCGCGACAGCGUGGGGAGCAACAGG
rnacentral:rRNA from 1 species